rnacentral:rRNA from 1 species
ACGUAGGGUGCAAGCGUUGUCCGGAAUUACUGGGUGUAAAGGGAGCGCAGGCGGACCGGCAAGUUGGAAGUGAAAACUAUGGGCUCAACCCAUAAAUUGCUUUCAAAACUGCUGGCCUUGAGUAGUGCAGAGGUAGGUGGAAUUCCCGGUGUAGCGGUGGAAUGCGUAGAUAUCGGGAGGAACACCAGUGGCGAAGGCAACCUACUGGGCACCAACUGACGCUGAGGCUCGAAAGCAUGGGUAGCAAACAG